rnacentral:rRNA from 1 species
UACGGGGGGGGCAAGCGUUGUUCGGAAUUACUGGGCGUAAAGGGCGCGUAGGCGGCCUGCUAAGUCACACGUGAAAUCCCCCGGCUUAACCUGGGAACUGCGUCUGAUACUGGAAGGCUUGAGUAUGGGAGAGGGAUGUAGAAUUCCAGGUGUAGCGGUGAAAUGCGUAGAUAUCUGGAGGAAUACCGGUGGCGAAGGCGGCAUCCUGGACCAUUACUGACGCUGAGGCGCGAAAGCUAGGGGAGCAAACGGG